AGUGAACGCUGGCGGUAGGCCUAACACAUGCAAGUCGAACGGCAGCACAGUAAGAGCUUGCUCUUACGGGUGGCGAGUGGCGGACGGGUGAGGAAUACAUCGGAAUCUACUUUUUCGUGGGGGAUAACGUAGGGAAACUUACGCUAAUACCGCAUACGACCUACGGGUGAAAGCAGGGGAUCUUCGGACCUUGCGCGAUUGAAUGAGCCGAUGUCGGAUUAGCUAGUUGGCGGGGUAAAGGCCCACCAAGGCGACGAUCCGUAGCUGGUCUGAGAGGAUGAUCAGCCACACUGGAACUGAGACACGCUCAAGACUCCUACGGGAGGCAGCAGUGGGGAAUAUUGGACAAUGGGCGCAAGCCUGAUCCAGCCAUACCGCGUGGGUGAAGAAGGCCUUCGGGUUGUAAAGCCCUUUUGUUGGGAAAGAAAAGCAGCAGGUUAAUACCCCGCUGUUCUGACGGUACCCAAAGAAUAAGCACCGGCUAACUUCGUG
rnacentral:rRNA from 1 species